GAUAAGUGCUGAAAGCAUCUAAGCAUGAAGCCCCCCUCAAGAUGAGAUUUCCCAUAGCGUAAGCUAGUAAGAUCCCUGAAAGAUGAUCAGGUUGAUAGGUUCGAGGUGGAAGCAUGGUGACAUGUGGAGCUGACGAAUACUAAUAGAUCGAGGACUUAACCAU
rnacentral:rRNA from 1 species